UACGUAGGGCGCAAGCGUUAAUCGGAAUUACUGGGCGUAAAGCGUGCGCAGGCGGUUUUGUAAGUCUGUCGUGAAAGCCCCGGGCUCAACCUGGGAAUUGCGAUGGAGACUGCAAGGCUUGAAUCUGGCAGAGGGGGGUAGAAUUCCACGUGUAGCAGUGAAAUGCGUUGAGAUGUGGAGGAACACCGAUGGCGAAGGCAGCCCCCUGGGUCAAGAUUGACGCUCAUGCACGAAAGCGUGGGGAGCAAACAGG
rnacentral:rRNA from 1 species